rnacentral:rRNA from 1 species
GAUGAACGCUGGCGGCGUGCCUAAUACAUGCAAGUCGAGCGAACAGACGAGGAGCUUGCUCCUCUGACGUUAGCGGCGGACGGGUGAGUAACACGUGGAUAACCUACCUAUAAGACAGGGAUAACUUCGGGAAACCGGAGCUAAUACCGGAUAAUAUAUUGAACCGCAUGGUUCAAUAGUGAAAGACGGUUUUGCUGUCACUUAUAGAUGGAUCCGCGCCGCAUUAGCUAGUUGGUAAGGUAACGGCUUACCAAGGCAACGAUGCGUAGCCGACCUGAGAGGGUGAUCGGCCACACUGGAACUGAGACACGGUCCUGACUCCUACGGGAGGCAGCAGUAGGGAAUCUUCCGCAAUGGGCGAAAGCCUGACGGAGCAACGCCGCGUGAGUGAUGAAGGUCUUCGGAUCGUAAAACUCUGUUAUUAGGGAAGAACAAAUGUGUAAGUAACUAUGCACGUCUUGACGGUACCUAAUCAGAAAGCCACGGCUAACUACGUG